AACGAACGCUGGCGGCAGGCUUAACACAUGCAAGUCGAACGCACCGCAAGGUGAGUGGCAGACGGGUGAGUAACGCGUGGGAAUCUACCCAGAACUUCGGAACAACUGAGGGAAACUUCAGCUAAUACCGGAUACGCCUACGGGGAAGAUUAUCGUUCUGGAUGAGCCCGCGUUGGAUUAGCUAGUUGGUGAGGUAAUGGCUCACCAAGGCGACGAUCCAUAGCUGGCUGAGAGGAUGAUCAGCCACACUGGGACUGAGACACGGCCCAGACUCCUACGGGAGGCAGCAGUGGGGAAUAUUGGACAAUGGGCGAAAGCCUGAUCCAGCCAUGCCGCGUGAGUGAUGAA
rnacentral:rRNA from 1 species